AACGUAGGAGACGAACGUUAUCCGGAGUUACUGGGCGUAAAGGGCGUGCAGGCGGUCUGAUAAGUUCGGCGUGAAAUAUUCCGGCUUAACCGGGAUAGGUCGUCGGAGACUGUCGGACUAGAGGGUGAUAGAGGCGUGUGGAAUUCCGGGUGUAGUGGUGAAAUGCGUAGAGAUCCGGAGGAACACCAGUGGCGAAGGCGACACGCUGGGUCACACCUGACGCUAAAGCGCGACAGCAUGGGGAGCGGAACGGG
rnacentral:rRNA from 1 species